UGGGGAAUAUUGGACAAUGGGGGGAACCCUGAUCCAGCAAUGCCGCGUGUGUGAAGAAGGCCUGAGGGUUGUAAAGCACUAUCAGUGGGGAGGAGGGUAUAUUGGUUAAGAGCUGAGUAUACUGGACGUUACCCACAGAAGAAGCACCGGCUAACUCCGUGCCAGCAGCCGCGGUAAUACGGAGGGUGCGAGCGUUAAUCGGAAUUACUGGGCGUAAAGGGUGCGUAGGUUGUUUGGUAAGUUAUCUGUGAAAUUCCUGGGCUUAACCUGGGCAGGUCAGAUGAUACUGCUGAACUAGAGUAUAGGAGAGGGUAGUGGAAUUUCCGGUGUAGCGGUGAAAUGCACAGAGAUCGGAAGGAACACCGGUGGCGAAGGCGGCUACCUGGCCUAAUACUGACACUGAGGCACGAAAGCGUGGGGAGCAAACAGGAUUAGAUACCCCCGUAGUCC
rnacentral:rRNA from 1 species